CCUAAUCAUCAUAUACUUUUCUCCUCUCUCUUUCUUUCUCAAAGCCUCUCAAAGGCUGAAAAAAAAAUAAAAAAUAGGGUUAGGGUUGUAGAGUUUUUGAUGUAUGUAUGUUCGACCGGUUUCUCUCUACCUAUCUCGGGUUUACUUCCCAGAAAAGGAAAAAAACCAUGAAAAUUACAUUAAAGUUUUUAAGUAGCAGAUUCAACUUUCAUCAUCACCACGAAAUUCAUGACUGCUGCUGCAGCUGCACCUUAAUUUUGGAGAAGAUGCUGUUUGUUUUUCAGGGAGGGUUUAGACAGAGACAUGUACACCAAGAGUAUUUUGCUGGCUAACUAAAAAUAUGGUGACAGAAUGCUCAGUGUUGUACUCUCUUAGUGAUGAUUAAUUAAUUAGGUCUUUUUAUGAAAUCAGCAGUGCUGCUUGCUAAGUGACUUGUAAUUAUUCAAUUUUAGUUUGUCCUUGUUAUAUGUAUGUCUCUCACACGAGUUAUGUAAAUCUUGUUAACUAUACAAAUAUACAGAACUUGUAAUAUUAGUCAUAUGUUUGUUUUGUAUAAUAUUAGUUGUGUUGAAAGAGCUUAAAUGGAGGGACAUGGUUCAAUAAUUAAUCGACUUUGACCUUAA